rnacentral:rRNA from 1 species
UACGUAGGGCGCAAGCGUUGUCCGGAAUUAUUGGGCGUAAAGAGCUCGUAGGCGGUUUGUCGCGUCUGCUGUGAAAACUCGAGGCUCAACCUCGGGCUUGCAGUGGGUACGGGCAGACUAGAGUGCGGUAGGGGUGACUGGAAUUCCUGGUGUAGCGGUGAAAUGCGCAGAUAUCAGGAGGAACACCGGUGGCGAAGGCGGGUCUCUGGGCCGUAACUGACGCUGGAGGAGCGAAAGCGUGGGAGCGAACAGG